AUUGAACGCUGGCGGCAGGCCUAACACAUGCAAGUCGAACGAGUGGCGGACGGGUGUGUAAUGUCUGGGACCCUGCCUGAUGGAUGGGGAUAACUACUGGAAACGGUAGCUAUUACCGCAUUCCAUCGGAUUUGCCCAGAGGUGAUUAGCUAGUAGGUGGGGUAAAGGGUCACCUAGGCGACGAGCCCUAGCUGGUCUGAGAGGAUGAACAGCCACACUGGAAAUGAGACACGGGCCAGACUCCUAAGGGAGGCAGCAGUGGGGAAUAGUGCACAAUGGGCGCAAGCCUGAUGCAGCCAUGCCGCGUGUAUGAAGAAGGCCUUCGGGUUGUAAAGUACUAUCAGCGGGGAGGCGUUACCCGCAGAAGAAGCACCGGCUAACUCCGUGCCAGCAGCCGCGGUAAUAC
rnacentral:rRNA from 1 species